AACUUUCAACAACGGAUCUCUUGGUUCUGGCAUCGAUGAAGAACGCAGCGAAAUGCGAUAAGUAGUGUGAAUUGCAGAAUUCAGUGAAUCAUCGAAUCUUUGAACGCACAUUGCGCCCUUUGGUAUUCCAAGGGCAUGCCUGUUCGAGCGUCAUUU
rnacentral:rRNA from 1 species